CCGCUCAGAAAUCUCGGCCGCCUGAUGAUCCGGGAUCACCGCCAGCUAAAAUCGCCCGCCCACACGGCCCCAACAUCGCGGCGUCCCCCCUCCUCCGCCGCGAGCCGCGGCCCCGGUGCUCGGCACCCCCCUCCUACUCGCGAGGCACCAGGGACCUGGGCGCCUAGGUCUUCGCCGCGCCCCCUGCUGCCUGCGCCCCCUGCUGCUCCCCACGACCCUCCCCUGGCGCCGCACGUUAUGCCGCCCCCCACCUCCGCCGCGAGCCGCGGCCCCGGUGCUCGGCACCCCCUCCUACUCGCGAGGCACCUGGGCCGUGCGCCUAGGUCUUUCCGGCGCCCCCUGCUGCUCCCCGCGACCCUCCCCUGGCGCCGCACCCGCACGUCAUGCCGCCUGGCGCCCCUGCAACGUCCUCCUGCGAAGUCAGGGCCGCCACCAGGUAUGCUCGCCAAGAAACCAGUGCGCCGCCGCCUCUUUUCCGGCCAAAAAAAUCCGGCCAUUCCCGUCGCCGGCACAGGUAUGGUAUAAAAUGGAUUCCCCUCGUCGUCCUCUUUCUUUUCCCCCCAAAUCCCGAGCUCUACGAGACGCCGGGAAUCCGGCCAACAGUAGCCGGCGACCAGCAUGGCUAUGUUGCGAAGCUUUUUCCAGAUUAGCCCCUGGCGAAAUCUGGAAUUAUGCUAUUCUUUCUCUAUAUCCUUGAUUUGGACAUGCGACUUAGUUUUUCCUUCCUUUGUAUCCUUGAUUUGGACACGUUCGUGGGUAGGCCUAGGGUUUCUGAUGCAAGUGAUGCCAUAUGCUGAGUGCUGGUUUUAUUCAGAUGGUGGUGCAGGUAGCAUGUACGGGAGGUGGCUAAUUACAUCUACCCCUUCCGAACAAACUAAGGAGUCAGGACAUGCAGUCGUUGAGGUUAUUACUUUUCACUUCCUUGAUUUGUGCCUGCAGCAAGAUGAUAAAAUAAGUUACAGAAUGGAUCAGUGAAUCUGGCAACUAAUAAUCAGGUAAUACCGUCCAUUUAUAAGAUCCAUCUCUGCAUGUAUGCUCUGUAGUUUCUCAUAUUUUUGCAGAGUGUCCAAGUACCAAUUUGUGAAACUACAUUGAGAUACCAGAACUUUACUCAAAUACGUUUUCUGUCGAACUACCUGCAUGGGUCACUUCUUGAUGGUAGAAAGCAGGAGCAGCCCAAGGAGGCAACUGAUCAGCUCCCAAACGGCCAAGCUAAAGAUGCUAUCAGAACAAUUGGAGUGGGCUCUUGGAAAUUGAAUCUAUGCUAUUUUUUCAUACGCAGGUUCAUGUUUUCCAUAAAUGUGAUUCACAAUGACCUGAAAUUGACAACAUGUAUAUUGCUCGUGAUGGCCAUAUGAGCUGUGACCAGUGAUCGUUCAUGGAAUUUUUCAGAAUGACCUGCUAGCUGCCUAGCUCUGAUGAUAUUUGAAGUUUUUGGACUUUGAUGCAGCUGACAAGAUUCACAGAACACAGAAAGUCUACCAAUGGAAGUCUGACUCACAGAAUCACAAAAUAUUUGCUUCUAACUUCUUCAUUCAGCUGUGGCUAAAUGCAAACCAUUCAGAUGGCAAUCAGGCGUGCUGAAUAGAGACAACAGCAGUGACAUGGAGCUGGAGGGGUGCUAGAGGCCAAAGCUAAGGGACUUGCUUGCAAAAUGCAGCUGGCAAUGGCUUUCCCUGAACUGUGGCAAACCGAACUUUGGAGGCUGACAAGGUCAGCAUGAUCGGUAUGUCCAGGAUAGUGAAGGUAAAUUUGCUGGCCAAACCAUAAGAUCAUGUAGGUCAUAAUUUGCUGAGAGUAGCUUAGAACAUCAGCUUUUGCGCUUCAAUAUAAUUGCAACGAUUUUUUGUUAUCGUCCUUUGUGUAUUUUGAUGUGGCUUAAAUCUCUAUUCAACAACUCCAUUUUCUCAUCCAGGUAUUGUUAUUUUUUAUACUAAGCAGCUCUUAAUGUGGUGCUUCAGUUUUCAGUUUUUAAGCACCUCAAAGUACCACAUGGGCGUCAAGGAAGUAAGAAGGUGUAAGGGAACUGAGUUUGGCUAAAAUUGUUGUCAUUGUUAUCAAAGCACACAUGUUCCUUCCCUCUCAAUUGAAAUAUAGGGAGCAUUGUUUUCUAUGGACUUAUUUGGUGCAGACACACAUCUUGGAUUUGGGGAUGAACUAAAUGGAUCUAUAUAUAAGAAUCUUGGUGGUAGCAAAUAUUUGUUUGAUCAUUCAUCUGAAUCUGAUGUUCUAUUGCCGCAUUUCUUUAAAAAAGUGGUCUGAAGAUGUUGCAUGCUCAACUAUAAGGAGGUGGUGGCGAGGAGUGGUUGACACGCCAAUGCGGAGUUGUGUUAUGUUCACACACCUCCAACAAUUCAUUUGCAUAGUGAGGAUCAUGUACGCAGAGCAUGAAUAUUGUUUAAAAUAAAAUAUGCAUCUAUUGCUAUUUAAUUUA